GCGACAGAGUGGCUCAGUGGGGAGAGCAUGAGACUCUUAAUCUCAGGGUUGUGGGUUCGAACCCCACGUUGGGCG